rnacentral:rRNA from 1 species
UCCGUAGGUGAACCUGCGGAAGGAUCAUUAAUGAAUUUUAUGGCGGAAUUGUAGCUGGCCCCAACCGGGCAUGUGCACAUUCUGUUCAUUCCAUUCUCAUACACCUCUGUGCACUUUACAUAGGUUUGGUAUAGAAAAGGUCUUUAUUGACUUUGGAAAUACUGACCUAUGCUUUUAUAAACGCUUCAGUUUUAGAAUGUCAUCCGCGUAUAACGCAAUAAAUACAACUUUCAGCAACGGAUCUCUUGGCUCUCGCAUCGAUGAAGAACGCAGCGAAAUGCGAUAAGUAAUGUGAAUUGCAGAAUUCAGUGAAUCAUCGAAUCUUUGAACGCAUCUUGCGCCCUUUGGUAUUCCGAAGGGCAUGCCUGUUUGAGUGUCAUGGUAUUCUCAAUACCCCAAAUCUUUGCGGAUAAGGGUGUGUUGGACUUGGAGGUUUUUGCAGGUAAUGAUUGUAUUACCAGCUCCUCUUAAAUGCAUUAGCAGAGAUAAUACUGCUACUCUCCAGUGUGAUAAUUGUCUACACUGUUAGUAGUGCGGUAUAACAAAAUGUCUAUGCUUCUAAUCGUCUUCGGACAACUUUUGACAAUCUGACCUCAAAUCAGGUAGGACUACCCGCUGAACUUAAGCAUAUCAAUAACCGGAGGAAAAAGAAACUAACAAGGAUUCCCCUAGUAA